AUUGAACGCUGGCGGCAGGCCUAACACAUGCAAGUCGAACGAGUGGCGGACGGGUGAGUAAUGUCUGGGAAACUGCCUGAUGGAGGGGGAUAACUACUGGAAACGGUAGCUAAUACCGCAUACCAUCGGAUGUGCCCAGAUGGGAUUAGCUAGUAGGUGGGGUAAAGGCUCACCAAGGCGACGAUCCCUAGCUGGUCUGAGCGGAUGACCAGCCACACUGGAACUGCGACACGGUCCAGACUCCUACGGGAGGCAGCAGUGGGGAAUAUUGGACAAUGGGGGAAAGCCUGAUGCAGCCAUGCCGCGUGUAUGAAGAAGGCCUUCGGGUUGUAAAGGACUUUCAGCAGAGAGGCGUUACCUGCAGAAGAAGCACCGGCUAACUCCGUGCCAGCAGCCGCGGUAAUAC
rnacentral:rRNA from 1 species